CAGCAGCGCGGUAAUUCGGAGGGUGCAAGCGUUAUCCGGAUUUAUUGGGUUUAAAGGGUCCGUAGGCGGAUCUGUAAGUCAGUGGUGAAAUCUCACAGCUUAACUGUGAAACUGCCAUUGAUACUGCAGGUCUUGAGUAAAUUUGAAGUGGCUGGAAUAAGUAGUGUAGCGGUGAAAUGCAUAGAUAUUACUUAGAACACCAAUUGCGAAGGCAGGUCACUAAGAUUUAACUGACGCUGAUGGACGAAAGCGUGGGGAGCGAACAGGAUUAGAUACCCCCGUAGUCCCUGUCUCUUAUACC
rnacentral:rRNA from 1 species